UUUGACCUCGGAUCAGGUAGGAAUACCCGCUGAACUUAAGCAUAUCAAUAAGCGGAGGAAAAGAAACCAACAGGGAUUGCCCUAGUAACGGCGAGUGAAGCGGCAACAGCUCAAAUUUGAAAUCUGGCCUCGGCCCGAGUUGUAAUUUGCAGAGGAUGUUUCUGGCGCGGUGCCUUCCGAGUUCCCUGGAACGGGACGCCACAGAGGGUGAGAGCCCCGUAUGGUUGGACACCAAGCCUGUGUGAAACUCCUUCGACGAGUCGAGUAGUUUGGGAAUGCUGCUCUAAAUGGGAGGUAAAUCUCUUCUAAAGCUAAAUACCGGCCAGAGACCGAUAGCGCACAAGUAGAGUGAUCGAAAGAUGAAAAGCACCUUGAAAAGGGGGUUAAACAGUACGUGAAAUUGUUGAAAGGGAAGCGCUCAUGACCAGACUUGUGCCGGGCGGUUCAUCCGGGGUUCUCCCCGGUGCACUCCGCCCGGCUCAGGCCAGCAUCGGUUCUCGUUGGGGGAUAAGAACGGUAGGAACGUGGCCCUCCCUCGGGAGGGUGUUAUAGCCUGCCGUACGAUACCCUGAUGGGGACCGAGGUUCGCGCUCCGCAAGGAUGCUGGCGUAAUGGUCAUCAGCGACCCGUCUUGAAACACGGACCAAGGAGUCGUCCAUUAGAGCGAGCGUUUGGGUGUAAAACCCGCACGCGUAAUGAAAGUGAAAUUAGGUGAGAGCUUCGGCGCAUCAUCGACCGAUCCUGAUGUUCUCGGAUGGAUUUGAGUAAGAGUUUUAACGGACGGACCCGAAAGACAGUGAACUAUGCUUGUAUAGGGUGAAGCCAGAGGAAACUCUGGUGGAGGCUCGCAGCGGUUCUGACGUGCAAAUCGAUCGUCAAAUAUGAGCAUGGGGGCGAAAGACUAAUCGAACUGUCUAGUAGCUGGUUACCGCCGAAGU
rnacentral:rRNA from 1 species